UUGAUGCAAAUGUGGAAACACGAGUUUAUGGGUAAUUUGUGUCUGAGGCAUUUCUUUGAUGUCACUCUUUCACCUUGGAGAUCUGAUGCAUCCU
rfam:Triticum urartu cultivar G1812 contig815233, whole genome shotgun sequence.